AGGACACCCUAUAGCCUAAGCCUCCUUAGGGAUGGUGAUGAGCGGGUCUCAAACCUGGGAACAUUGUUCAAUAUACUUUCAUCUUGAUAGAUUCAUUAUCGUGACCUUACAUAUUUACAGUAAUGAAUAAUGUAGCUCAUAUGCUUCAUUACAUAUAUUUUUUUACAUAAUAAUUCUUUUUGUGUAAUUUUAGGACAGUAUAAUGUGAUAUUACUAAUUUGUUGAAAUUUAUUUUAGUGAAGCUUUUUACAUUUGUCUUAUUACUUAUAUUAGAAAUUUAUGUAUUGUGUUAUUAGUGAAAUGUUGAUGAUCUGAGAUUUUCUUUUAUGAGUCCUAAUGUAUACACAUAUUUCUAUUGCUGUUAUAUAUACCGGGUGAAUUGUUUAUGUAAGUUAAACUUGUUUGUAAACUUAUACUGAGUUCAAUGUAAAGUGUUGACUAAAGAAAACCUUUGAGUUAACUUGCAACUACAAACUAGCACAAUUACCAGAACAUAAUGCAAGUAAAACAGCAAUGUGUUGGUCAACUCAAUGGUUAACACUGGUUGCAUGUUGAAUACAUUUAUCAACAAAAGGAAAUCUGUUCACUGUUGUCGCUGUUGGUAUAACAGAACAAACAUAUUUGUAUUACACUAUUGAAUAAAGUUGCCUAACAAGGCGCUAUUCGAUCAACUAAAAUUUGUUUCCUAUCUAUUUGAAAGUCCACUUUUUAAACUUCCGUCACAGUCGCUGCAAAGUUUCAAUGUAAAAAACAAACAAAACAAUAAAGAAUCCCACAAUUCACUCGCCAGGGGGCGGGGUGGCAGAGUGGUUAAGUUUAGCUUCCAAAACCUGGGGUCCUGUGUUCAAAUCUUAGUGAUGCCUCAAUUCUUAGUGAAGGCUGGGAUUUUGAACUUUGGGAUUUUUAGGGUACCCCUGAGUCCCUUAUGGGUACCUGACUUUAGUUGGUGCUGCCCACAUGACACCCAGCUCGUUAACCGUUGGUCAUAGAAACAGAUGACCAUAACAUCAUCACUCGCCACAUCUCAUAAUAUCUGUU